AUACCAUGAUGAGGAAACUUUCUGAGCAAUUCUUUGAAUCUUUCCCAAGUCUCGUACAAACUCUCAUCUUCAAGUUGAUGGAAAGAAGUAAUCUCAUUCCAUAACUUU
rfam:Citrus sinensis cultivar Ridge Pineapple sweet orange scaffold00722_contig_10, whole genome shotgun sequence.